UCGGGAAUUUUGGGCAAUGGGGGAAACCCUGACCCAGCAACGCCGCGUGAAGGAUGAAGUAUUUCGGUAUGUAAACUUCGAAAGAAUAGGAAGAAUAAAUGACGGUACUAUUUAUAAGGUCCGGCUAACUACGUGCCAGCAGCCGCGGUAAUACGUAGGGACCAAGCGUUGUUCGGAUUUACUGGGCGUAAAGGGCGCGUAGGCGGCAAUUCAAGUCAUCUGUGAAAUCUCCGGGCUUAACUCGGAACGGUCAGAUGAUACUGCUUUGCUAGAGUGCAGAAGGGGCAAUCGGAAUUCUUGGUGUAGCGGUGAAAUGCGCAGAUAUCAAGAGGAACACCUGAGGUGAAGACGGGUUGCUGGGCUGACACUGACGCUGAGGCGCGAAAGCCAGGGGAGCAAACGGGAUUAGAUACCCCCGUAGUCCCUGAGCGGGCUGGCAAGGCGCAU
rnacentral:rRNA from 1 species